rnacentral:misc_RNA from 1 species
UUCAACAUCAUUGUUUGAUUUCCACCAGAACCCCACAUUGGAUUUAAAGAAAGCUACCCUUCUUGUACUGUACCUUCCACACCUUCAUUUCCAUCUAAUGCUGCCUCCAAUUCCUACUUAUCAAUUACUUCUAUCAGUUGCAACACAUAAACUUGCCUUUUUUUGCAUUUAUGCCCAGGUGUAUAUUUCUCAUCACACCAAUAACAAAAGUUCUUAGACCUCUUUUCGUCUAUAUCUUUGCCAAUUAAAGUACUAGGGAAUCUUGGAGUCAUGGGUAGUCGG